GUUUUGAUUUUGGCUUUGAAGAGAGAAAUGGAGUCUGUGCUGCACAGCAACUGAAUGCUCUGCUCCCCGCAGUGAUGAGGCAGGCAGGAGGUACAGAGAAGAUGAGGAUCGAAGGAUGCCACCGCAUCUUGCAAUCUGUACAAUGUCGGACAGCAGCCGUGGGAUCUGCUGCAAGACUGGUGUAACGUGUUGGACGGAUCCUGAAAAUGGCAAGAGAUGACGUGCGCUCCAGUCAUCUACACUGGAGCCUAUGGCAGGUGUAUAAAGUCAGCAAUAUGAUGGCCAACCGGGACCUGGAUGCAACACAUAUACGCAGACGUCACCAGUGCUCUCGCCACAACGGACGACAUGACAAGUGUGUGCUCUCCCUCAGAGGAAUUCAACAUUCAGUAACAAGACGGUUGGUCUUCUUGGAAAAAGUAGAAGGAUAAAAUCUGACUUCAUGAAGGCAGAUGUAACACACAGGCUCUACCUCAACUGACCAACAAAGAAGGACAGAAGAGGCAAUACUGUUUGCCUGUGUAGGUUGUCACGACACGGCGAGACGCAAGGUGCAUUCAAACACAGUCAGACGUUUCAAUACCAAACAGAAAAAGUCCCUCGAUGUAUGAGUGAACAUAAAGAGCUUUAACUGUAAAUAAUUUGGGCUUUCUCUCAUUCAAUACAAGAUGACCUAUACCAAGAACAACAAUGGGGGGUGAGAUGACUUUUUUUUACUGAAUUAUAAUCAAUAUUCCAUUUUUUCAUAUUGUCAGAUUUUUUUCUCUUUUUUUUUUGUGGGAACUCUUAUAAUAUUUGAUUGGUCGCUACAUGUGCGACAUUGCAAUGGCGUUCACUUGUGAUGCAAAUCGCAGCAAAACCAAUUGCUGACGAACCCCGCACAAUGUGGAGUAGUUCCGUCUGUCGCUCGGCGUGCCUCACUUUACUUGUUUGCUUUUGUGGUACCACACCCAGUGAUGCCAUAGAGGAAUCUAUGAUUCAACACCAGUCUCGUACUGACGCAUUCUUUAUUCCAACAAUGUCAGAAUUGCAGUCAUCUGCCCCCGUCAUCAUCAAGACCUUCAUCACUGUAGUUCAGUGAUUGAGUGAUGGCUCCAUUCAGCAAACUGCCAAUACCGGUUGUACUCACAGGCUAAAAUUGCACGCUAUUUUCUCAUUAGUGUAAUACUGAACUGCUAAAGUAGUGUACGUGUGCGUGUGUGUGUGCGCGCGUGCCGUGACUAACUCCAGCAAGCCAUAAGGGACAACAUCUGAAAUCAUACUUCACUGUGGAGGAGGGUGAUGAUGCUGUGGGGGCAUAUAUGCCACUUUUCUACUCAUGUUUGCUUUAAAUAAGCAAGAAAGGUCACACCGCCUACAAAAAAUAGCAGAUCUUAUGAUAAAGCUCGAGUUUGAGACAUGUACAGGUAGGAAGAAGAACCAAGAUACCGGUCCAGACAGAAAAGAUGAAACUUUUUGCACUAAAGUUUUGGACUGGCCAACGUUCUGCACCACCUCACGUGCGUUGAGUUCUGAAGCCUCAGCCACCACAAGCAAGUGCAUCCAAGCCACCGGCUCGGCACAGCACGCUUGUAAAAUUCACUUCUCGGUGACCCAUUUUUAGUUUGGAAGGCUACCAUAUCAGCACUUGGGGAUGUGCGUGUGAUUCACCAAUGCUAACGUUUACAUCAUGUUCCCAACAGCAUAGCAUCACUGUUCCAGGUUACCAUAGACAAAACAGGAUGGUCAUUAAAAUAUAAACGGAGACGGGAGGAGCAAAUGUGCCAAACAGUGAAUGCCAUGGAUGCCCAGCAAGAUUUGUUUUGUUCUGUUGCCCCCCCUCCCCCCACCGUCCCCCCGCCCCAUCCAUCAACAUGCUGCGGAUGUGAAAAGAAAAGAAAACACACAUUAACUUUGAUCACAAGUAACGCUGGACUUAUGCUGCUUUAGAUGUGAGUCUGGUUACUUGAUGUAACUUUUGGGAC